rnacentral:rRNA from 1 species
GAUGAACGCUAGCGAUAGGCUUAACACAUGCAAGUCGAGGGGUAGCAGGGAUUUAGUUUACUAAAUUUGCUGACGACCGGCGCACGGGUGAGUAACGCGUAUGCAAUUUACCUUAUACACAGGGAUAGCCCGGCGAAAGUCGGAUUAAUACCUGAUAUUAUUAGAGGGUCUCCUGACUCAUUAAUGAAAGAUUUAUCGGUAUAAGAUGAGCAUGCGUUCCAUUAGCUAGUUGGUAAGGUAACGGCUUACCAAGGCAACGAUGGAUAGGGGAACUGAGAGGUUUAUCCCCCACACUGGAACUGAGACACGGACCAGACUCCUACGGGAGGCAGCAGUGAGGAAUAUUGGUCAAUGGACGAGAGUCUGAACCAGCCAAGUCGCGUGAAGGAAGACUGCCUUAUGGGUUGUAAACUUUCUUUUAUAUAGGGAAAUAAAAAGUAUACGUGUAUACUCUUGCAUGCACCAUAUGAAUAAGCAUCGGCUAACUCCGUGCCAGCCGCCGACC